UACAGAGGUCCCAAGCGUUGUUCGGAUUCACUGGGCGUAAAGGGUGCGUAGGCGGUCGGGUAAGUCUGACGUGAAAUCUUCAAGCUCAACUUGGAAACUGCGUCGGAUACUAUUCGGCUAGAGGAAUGGAGGGGAGACUGGAAUACUUGGUGUAGCAGUGAAAUGCGUAGAUAUCAAGUGGAACACCAGUGGCGAAGGCGAGUCUCUGGACAUUUCCUGACGCUGAGGCACGAAAGCCAGGGGAGCAAACGGGAUUAGAAACCCCCGUAGUCC
rnacentral:rRNA from 1 species